ensembl:rRNA 5S_rRNA 5S ribosomal RNA
GUCUAUGGCCAUAUUACACUGAACAAGCUCAAUUUCGUCUGAUCUUGGAAGCUAAGCAGGGUCGGGCCUGGUUAGUACUUGGAUGGGAGACCACCUAGGAAGAUCGGGUGCUGUAGGCG